GCCUGGGUGGCUCAGUUGGUUGAGCGUCCUACUCUUAGUUUCAGCUCAGGUUAUGAUCUCAUGGUUUGUGGGUUCGAGCCCCACAUCGGGCU
rnacentral:tRNA from 1 species